rnacentral:lncRNA from 14 species
AUGCUCCUUAUGGCCUGCUGGGCUCGGAGGCACCGAGCGCCUCACACCCUCGCGGGGGCCACCACCCACUCCUGCACCCCCUUACUCUGCCGCCUGGCUGUCCUCCUGCUUGAUCUUCUCCUCCACGGCCUGCAGCGCGGCGGCCAAGGACGCGCUCGUCUCCUCCAGCUUCUGCUGCGCCAGCUCGGAGCCGCCGCUGUCCACGGACGGGCUGGCGAUGGUGGAGCGGGGCGGCUUCACCGGCACCUGCUGGGGCUGCGCGCCGGGCGACAGGGGCUUGGCGGGGCUGGAGCAGAGCGAGGGCGGGGUGCUGGAGGGCUUGGCCGCGGGGCUCAGCUGCCGGGCUGGCGACGGGGCCGGUGUGGAGCUGGCGCUCACCGACUGGAUGGCGGCGUGGGGCUUGGGGGGCUUGGGCGCCGUGGGGGGCGGCGUGGGCUUGGGGGACACCGGGGGCGGCGUGCCAUGGACCCGCUUCACCUCUGCGGAGAGAAGGGAGAGGGGCAGGGACCCCCGGCUGGGACCCCCGGCGUCCGCCCGUCCCGGGGGGCUGGCGGGGCACCUACCUGGGCUGCCGGGGCUCGGGAUGGGCACCUUUUUGGGGACGGGCACCGGCGGCCCGGGCAUCUUCUGAGGCGGCUGCGUCAGCACGGGCUUGGGGGACACCGGCGGCUUGAAGGGCUUCUUGGGCUCGGCGGGCGGCGGGACGAACUCGGGGCCGUCGGGGCGGGCGGCGGGCGGCGGGGUGGGCGGCGGCUCGGCUCCGCUCAGCUCCGAGGCCGGCCGCCGCUUCACGGUGCCGGUGCCGUUCUGGUACACGGCGAGCGUGGCCGGCUCCAGCGCCGGCUCCUUGUCCUUGGCUUUGGGCCGGCGCUUGACGGUGUCGGACUCGGUGAGGACGAAGCGGACGCCGUCCUGCUGGCUCUGCCUGGCCCGGAUCCGCCGCUUGAGCGUGGCGCUGGCCUCCACCUUGGCCAGGUCCCCGUGGCGGUGGGCCGGGGACAGCCCUCGCCCGUCUCCCCGCGGGCUGGCCCCAGGGGCCGCGGCCGCUGCUUGAUGGUGAGGGUGCCGUCCUCGGCGAACGGGAUGCCGUCCGGGGAGCCGCCGCGUUCCACCCGCAGCCGCUUCGCCGGGGCCGUCGGCGGCCGCCUCCGACCGCACGCUGUCGGCGCUCGCGGCGGGCGGCUGCCACCAGCCCGGUGA